rnacentral:rRNA from 1 species
GGGCGCAAKYCUGAUGCAGCGMCGCCGCGUGAGGGAUGGAGGCCUUCGGGUUGUAAACCUCUUUUAUCGGGGAGCAAGCGUGAGUGAGUUUACCCGUUGAAUAAGCACCGGCUAACUACGUGCCAGCAGCCGCGGUAAUACGUAGGGUGCAAGCGUUAUCCGGAAUUAUUGGGCGUAAAGGGCUCGUAGGCGGUUCGUCGCGUCCGGUGUGAAAKUYCAUCGCUUAACGGUGGAUCCGCGCCGGGUACGGGCGGGCUUGAGUGCGGUAGGGGAGACUGGAAUUCCCGGUGUAACGGUGGAAUGUGUAGAUAUCGGGAAGAACACC